ACUAGAUGGAUGGACUGCCUAAGGUAGGGAGAGUGAAAGUAUUUGCCUAUUCCCCGAGGCGUGACCGAAGACAGGUUUGCAUGGCAUCGCAUAUUAUGUGUAAUAUUCCCAAAUAAACAAAACUCGAGGAAAGCAACUUCAAAACCCACUGUGGCAGAAGAAGAGACCUACGUAUUAUGGAUUGGAUCCAGGACGCUGGUCCCACACAGAGCGUCAAUCUGAACCCUGAUUCAAUCCCUGCACAAACUGGACAAAAGCAUUCCCAAAAUCAUA